UACGUAGGGUGCGAGCGUUAAUCGGAAUUACUGGGCGUAAAGCGUGCGCAGGCGGUUUUGUAAGCCAGAUGUGAAAUCCCCGGGCUUAACCUGGGAAUGGCAUUUGGGACUGCAAGGCUCGAGUGCGGCAGAGGAGACUGGAAUUCCUGGUGUAGCAGUGAAAUGCGUAGAUAUGUGGAGGAAUACCGAUGGCGAAGGCAGCCCCCUGGGAUAACACUGACGCUCAUGCACGAAAGCGUGGGGAGCAAACAGG
rnacentral:rRNA from 1 species